rnacentral:hammerhead_ribozyme from 1 species
GUCUCUGACGAGUGCCAAAUAGGACGAAACGCGUGUCCUGGAU